rnacentral:sRNA from 20 species
UUGCCGGAGCGGGAGUUUUCACCGAUUGAUCCCGCCAGUCGAUGGGCCGAAGAAGAACGGCGGUAGGCCCGCGGACGGCAG